AAGAAAUUGAUGUUUGGGAAAUUUUUAAGGGAAAGAAAAUUAGGAGGAAUAAAAUGUAGAGAUAAGUAAGCUACAGAUUAAAACAGUGGAGUGUAGUUGAGAGACCAACAUAGCCCUAUCAUAAGUAAGGUUUCUAGUAAGACCAUCAAGGCUACGUUUCAACUCUUACGGCUUACCAAGUUACUCUCUCGGUUAGAGACUCCGAUUGGUAGUAUAGAUAAAUGUAUCAGUGAUCCACUACUUUUCAUGUCACACUAAAAAUUCCAGCCCAACCAGAGCUGGACAAUGCAAGAUGGUUUUACAUGUUCAGGUAACAACACUAUAAAACCAAAAGUCAGAGUUAGACAAGGAGAUUAAGAUUCAUUGUACCUUGACAAUCACAUGGCAGUCCAUGGGACCUGUAACAGCUCUUAUAUCCUAAAGUUGAAUCAGGUUAUUUAGGCACCAACAAAGAAAAACAAGUAGGCUGUUGUGUCAAUCAAACAGGUAAUCAUACAUCAAGAAUUGAAUCAACAUUUGAAGGGGCAGAAACAUCACUACAAAUAGCUGCAAUCAGCAUCCAUUUUCCCAAAGAAAUCCAGCACGGGCAGGUUCAUGGCCAUUUUCACCACCUAAAUUAGAAAAUUUUCAAGACAACGUUAAACUGGACUUUGGUUAGAACCAGAUUCCAAGGUUAUGUGCCAAAUUUAGGUUAGAGAUUCCUGAGCAACUGUUUAGUCACGCAUAUUCCUGAAUAAUUAUUCAUAAGAAUUCCUGGACUCCUUAAAGGCUUAUUUAGUUAUAAGUGGAAUCACUAGCAGAAACUUCACUCAUGUGAGGCGAGAAAGGAAUGCACAAAGGGCACUGGGCAACUCAUGAAAAUGCAAUUUCUAAUUUUGCCAUUAUACAAAUUAGAAUAAUAUGUGAAGCUCCAUGAGAAUAUUAAUUUAGCGACACUCCUGUUCUAGAAUUGAAAUAGAGACAUCAGGUAUAAUCCAAGUUGACCUGAUAUGACUGCAAUUUUGUUCAAAUUUGCAUCUGAAAUAUAAAAUAUCAUCACACAAGACAACCUUAACAUGUCUUAGGGUAUACAGGAGAAAAUGUUACAGUGGAUUUCGGAAAACUACCAUCUUAGUAAGGCAACAGGAUAAAUAAAAACAGCGAACAAAUUGACAACCUAAAACAAAUAAUAUAAGUGCUUCCUCUGUAAUAGAUUAAGUUUUUAUCACACAAUUCAACACGCAUUGAUAUCAAGAUAGGCAGACGUCCUAAGUCCAACUCUCAAACCCAUCAACAGAAAUGUUUCCACAUGAUUGAUUCAAGAAAAAUAAUUAGACCACAUAUGAGAGGAUGUGUUUACGACCUAAAAUAAAUAAAUAAAUGUCUCUCUUCUUUAAUAGUUAAACUUUGAAAUGAGAUGAUCACACAAUUCAUAAAAGGAAAUCCCUAAAAAUGGAUCACCUCAGGAAAACGAGCUGGAUAUGGCAACCCGCGACAAAACUUGGCAGAACUCUGUCAAUG
rnacentral:lncRNA from 1 species